AGAAGAAGAAGAAGAAGAAGAAGGUGAAGGAUUUACGCGAUGGCCUUUGCUUUCAGACGACGAGCUUCUCUAAUCGUUCUAGCUAUGGUUUUCUUCGGUUAGUGUUUCUCUGUUCCUGCUUCACUCGUUUUUUUUUCGUCUGCUAUAUAUUGUUGUUUGGAUGGUUAGAAAGUGGAGGAAAGUACAGAAAAUUUGAAGUUUUUCCUGAGAAAAAAAAGAUGUGGAUGGUUUUAUCUAGCAUGUUGAAUUAUAUUAAUGAAAUUCUGGCGAUUUUGAGCAUAUAUUCUUUAUCACGGUUUAUGAUCCUACUGAGACUAAUGAUUUUAUUGUUAUAGUUUUAAAUUGAAUUUACGUGCAUGAAAUCUGAUAAUUUAAUCAUUAGUUUAUAGCAAUUGAAUAUAGCAAUGAUGAGCGUUAACUUUUGAGGUGAUCAUGGCUAGGUAGGCUGUACUGGAGCCAUGUUGACCUGUUAACCCUUUCUGGAUAAGUUAUGGAUUGAUGUUAAUUAUGUUUUCUUGCAUUUCCUCUUAGAGAGUAAUUUUUAGAGUAGUUUUGACAAAAGCGUUGGCUCUUGCAAAAAAUCUGGAGCAGAUUUAUUAAUGCGGUAGUUAAUUAAUGAACAGGGAGUUUAUUUGCAUUUUCCAUUGCGAAAGAGGAAGCAACCAAGCUAGGAACCGUAAUUGGCAUAGACCUUGGUACAACAUACUCUUGUGUGGGCGUUUACAGAAACGGUCAUGUUGAAAUCAUAGCCAAUGACCAGGGUAAUCGAAUUACCCCAUCAUGGGUUGCAUUCACUGAUACUGAGAGAUUGAUCGGUGAGGCUGCAAAGAAUCAGGCAGCUGUCAAUGCCGAAAGGACAAUCUUUGAUGUAAAGAGACUUAUCGGAAGAAAGUUUGAGGACAAGGAGGUUCAGAAGGAUAUGAAGCUUGUUCCAUACAAGAUUGUGAACAAGGACGGAAAGCCUUAUGUACAAGUCAUGAUUAGGGAUGGGGAGACUAAGGUUUUCAGUCCUGAGGAGAUAAGUGCCAUGAUUCUCACUAAGAUGAAGGAGACAGCUGAAGCAUUCCUUGGAAAGAAAAUCAAGGAUGCCGUUGUAACUGUACCAGCUUAUUUCAAUGAUGCCCAGAGGCAGGCAACCAAGGAUGCCGGUGUCAUUGCUGGUUUGAAUGUUGCAAGAAUCAUUAAUGAACCAACUGCAGCAGCCAUUGCCUAUGGUUUAGAUAAAAAGGAUGGUGAAAAGAACAUUCUUGUCUUCGACCUUGGUGGUGGGACAUUUGAUGUCAGUAUUUUGACAAUUGAUAAUGGUGUUUUU
rnacentral:misc_RNA from 1 species